UACGUAGGGGGCUAGCGUUGUCCGGAAUCAUUGGGCGUAAAGAGCGCGUAGGCGGCCAGAUAAGUCCGGUGUGAAAGUCAAAGGCUCAACCUUUGAAUGCCGCUGGAAACUGUCUGGCUAGAGUCCGGGAGGGGCGAGUGGAAUUCCUGGUGUAGCAGUGAAAUGCGUAGAGAUGUGGAGGAACACCGAUGGCGAAGGCAGCCUCCUGGGCCAGCACUGACGCUCAUGCACGAAAGCGUGGGGAGCAAACAGG
rnacentral:rRNA from 1 species